UUUGAAUUGCUCAAAUAUCUAGAGGAACACCCGUCUCUUACCUAUGUGGUUAUUCUCCAAAUGGGCAAGAUGAAAUUUUAUAGUGGGGUCAUGGGUGUAUCUAACACAAACUACAAUUCGAAACUGUUUAUCAAUGUUGAGUUUCCAGCUGCCAGGGAUUUCUUUGCGAGGGUGAACAAAUUGGAUCCUGUUG